UGUUAAAAAUUUCAUCUAUUUCUACUAUUAAAAAUUGGCGUGAUGGAAAGAAUAACUAGACAGUUACACGUGGAUUCUACUCAUUCUAGCAUACAAGGAUCAAUUUUAAUAGUAAAAAUAGAUGAAAUUUUUAAUA
rfam:Gossypium raimondii Chr02_contig_19, whole genome shotgun sequence.